AGUCGCCGUCAUGUAAAAUUGGCACCGUGUUUUUUGUAGAAAUUUUUUUAAAUAUCAGCCGCGUUCACUCGAGAUGACGUUUUUCAAUAAGCGGAAUAAAAAUCCUUUCCAAAUAUCCACUACUGUCCUACCUUUUAUUGUGUUUGCACUGUAUAAUCCUGACCUUCACAUUAUUCAAGAUUAUUUACAUUGUUAAUCCGCCAUCAUGGUUUCUAUGAGGAUCCUUUAUUUACAUAACAUUCGUUACUCUCCGGCAAUAUCCGUGUCAUUGAUGUGAUACAGUUUCCCGCGCUUUUUACAUGUAAACAAUAACACGAGUUGUGUAAUCGACAAGAUAAAUAUGUUACCUGAAUAUGACCCGGAGAAUGGACAGAAUGGUGUUUACACGAAGAAACAAUGAAAUAAAAAGAUGUUGAAACCAGUAUAUCACAGAUGUUGAAACUACGGUAUAUCACAGAUGUUGAAAGUAGGGUAUAUCACAGAUGUUGAAACUAUAUCACAGAUGUUGAAACUAUAUCACAGAUGUUGAAACUAUAUCACAGAUGUUGAAACUAUAUCACAGAUGUUGAUUUAAUGUAUACAGAAUGGGUUAAUAGCAAUCACUCAACUAACUGUCCAGAAACUGUUAUCAAAGAAUCAGUAACCGAAGAUUAAACAAAGACUAUUUUGCUGAUGACUACAGAGCAAAAAAAUAUUUCCAAUAUGUAUAGAUAUGUACUUCAAUACUGAAAUGUGUAUUUAAUGCAGAGCUUGCUGCAGACUUGGCAUGGUCACUGACUGGGAUUUCUUGUGCAGAUCAUAGAUGGUCCUUCUCACCACACCUUUGUCGAAAUCAUCCAACUUCUGGUUCUUCUUGACAGUUUUCUGGACAGCAGCCUUAUGAACUGCCUUCACCACAUCCUGCACAGCAUCAUCACUGGCAUCUGUAUGGACAUAACGUCGCAGUGUUGUUGGUUUAAUCCCUGAAAUUUCAAUUGUCCAUGUAUUUCAGCAUAUAACAUAAAAAUGAUAGAAAAAACUUGUAUAUAAUUGUAUAGAGUGGAUUCAAGGUGGUUGGGGGCAUUUAUAUAUCUUCUUGUUUGCAUAGUCAUAAAAAAUUGUUGUUCGACUUGCAUAGCUUGACAAUAUAUUUAAGGAAUAACAGUACUGUAGUUGAAGAGUUGCCACCGUCAAUUGUCGAUUUGACGAUCGCAAAUGCAGUUUUACUGGUGAUGCGUAGCGGAGACAGUAAAACGGAAAUUUCAACCGUCAAAUCAAAAUUGACGGUGGCAACUCUUCAACUACAGUACUGUUAUUCUGAUUCUAAUGCAAUACAAAAAGAAAUAAUACGUUAGAGGUUGACAAAAUGUAUAAAUUUCACAUACAAAAAAAUCCGCGAAACUUCUUGAAUGAUUUUGGCGCAAAAACGUCAUGGCUAAGUGUGACGUCAUUCAAAUGAAAACUGACAAACUGAAGGUUAUUACGUUACCUCUACGAUUUAAAUUCGGAUAAAAUCACAUUAAAACGGCGAAUUGGUUGUAGGUUUUGUUUUAUUUUCGAUAAUAUUGCAGUAAUCGAACAUUUGUUGAUCCAAUCAAUUCAAAAUGGCGGAUCCCUCCUUAGUUAAGCCUGGUCAACUGUGGAUUUGACGGUAACUUUUAGCCAAUGAAAAAAAUUGUUACAUAAAAAUUGCAUUAGAAUUCAAGUUUUCUUAUCACCACUUAAAUAUUUAUUAGAUUUGCCCCAAUUACAUUAUCUGAAACUUAUCCUAAUGUACACGUGAUUCAUCUAAAAUUACUAUAUUUGGUGUAUGUGGAAGGAUUGGAAUGGAACUCAUGUCCAAGGGUACAUCUGACCCUCGCUUCAUUUUCAUGUUUAAUUGCUGAUGUGUAUUUACAGUUAACUGUUUUACCUGCAAAUUUGCUAUUGAUGCCUUGACCUUAUGAAUUGAUAUUUAUGAGGUUGAAAAUAUCUUUCAUCAAGUUUUAUCUAUAGACAUCAUUUGGUUUGCACAAUUAUAUGUUAUUAAAAAUAACAAGACCCCAAUAAUUGAGGUCUCCAACAAAGUUUGUCUGCUUUAAAAUCAUAAUUGUUGAUUUUAUGCAAAUAAUUUUUCUUUUUUUUUCAGUUAUGUAAAACUGAAAUUU